AUUUCAUGGCUCUUCUUUUUUAUUGAGAUACCGAGUCCGCACAGGAUAAAUCUAAGAAGGGCUCGACGAACCGACAUAGCAAGCGCAAGCUUGACCACCACUUGGGAUCGAUGUCCUUUGCCAAUCUUGAGUAUAGAUAUUGUCGAGACACGGGGAAGCCGAUAAUGCCGAUCAAUUUGAAGGCAAAGUUAGCUUACGACACCUUUCACUCAACAUAUAAAGAUGAAGAGAAGAUUAAAGAAACCAUGGUG